rnacentral:rRNA from 1 species
GCGUAGGAAUCUGCCUUAGAGCUUGGGAUAACUCGGGGAAACUCGAGCUAAUACCAAAUACGGUCUACGGACUAAAGGUGCCUUCGGGUGUCACUUUAAGAUGAGCCUACGUCAGAUUAGCUUGUUGGUGGGGUAAAGGCCUACCAAGGCAAUGAUCUGUAGCUGGUCUGAGAGGAUGAUCAGCCACACUGGGACUGAGACACGGCCCAGACUCCUACGGGAGGCAGCAGUGGGGAAUAUUGGACAAUGGGGGCAACCCUGAUCCAGCGAUGCCGCGUGUGUGAAGAAGGCCUGCGGGUU